GGCUCAGGAUGAACGCUAGCGGCAGGCCUAACACAUGCAAGUCAGGGGCAGCACAAGGAGCAAUCUGAGGUGGCGACCGGCGCACGGGUGAGUAACACGUAUGCAACCUGCCUGUAAGCGGGGAAUAACCCGUUGAAAGACGGACUAAUACCGCAUAAUACUAAAUUACUGCAUGGUAAUUUAUUUAAACAUUUAUGGCUUACAGAUGGGCAUGCGCAUGAUUAGCUAGUUGGAGAGGUAACGGCUCCCCAAGGCAACGAUCAUUAGGGGUUCUGAGAGGAAGGUCCCCCACACUGGUACUGAGACACGGACCAGACUCCUACGGGAGGCAGCAGUGAGGAAUAUUGGUCAAUGGACGAGAGUCUGAACCAGCCAAGUCGCGUGCAGGAAGAAUGUCCUAUGGAUUGUAAACUGCUUUUGCAGGGGAAUAAAGUGCAUCACGUGUGAUGUUUUGUAUGUACUCUGCGAAUAAGGAUCGGCUAACUCCGUGCCAGCCGCAGC
rnacentral:rRNA from 1 species